rnacentral:piRNA from 1 species
UAAAAGGAAACACACGGACGAGGAGAUGGU